CAGGUGUGACCCAGGUGUAACAGAUGUUACAUAGGUGUGACAGGUGACACAGGUGUGACACAGGUGUGACAGGUGACACACAGGUGUGACAGGUGUCUGUCCCCCAGCUGAUGGAGCUGAUCGAGCGCGUGGAGCGCCGCGUGUGUGUGACAGAUGUUAUGUAAAUGUGACACAGGUGUGACACAGGUGUGACACAGAUUACACAGGUGUGACACAGGUGUGACACAGGUGACACAGGUGACACACAGGUGUGACAGGUGUCUG